rnacentral:rRNA from 1 species
AACACAUGCAAGUCGAGCGGUAACAGGUCUAGUUUACUAGAUGCUGACGAGCGCCUUAACGGAUGAGUAACGCGUGGGAACAUGCCCCAAAGUGAGGAAUAACUGCCCGAAAGGGUAGCUAAUGCCGCAUAUGAUCUUCGGACUUACGGAUUAAUCCGCUUUGGGAGUGGCCCGCGUACGAUUAGGUAGUUGGUGAGGUAAUGGCUCACCAAGCCCACUAUC